GUUCUCAUAAAUAUCUAAUGAGUUGAUUACCUAAGAUAACGAAGAAGAGACACCGCUCCUCACCCCAACUGAAGAUAACUAUAAGAAGAGAAUAUAUUAUAGUACAUGAUAUGUAAAUGACUAGUGACAUAGUGAAAUGAUCCUGAUACUGAAGACAUGACUAAACAUACAUAUAUAAUCUUACCUGAUAAAACAUCAUCAUAAAAUAUCAUUUAUAGAAGAGUACAGCCACAGGAGGAUCAGUUAAAAUGAAGAUCCAGUUAACGACCAUCUUGACCUUGACCUUGUGUUUCUGCCAAGUUCAGUCUUCAAAUGACUGGAGCAUCAAGGUAUCUUAUUAUGAGCACGUCCAACUACCAUGUGGUUAUAAUGAGACGUCCAUUUUCAAUAAUUCCUCAGAGAUAAUGUGGAUAUUACCCGACGGAUACUUGGUCAAAAUCAACUCGACCAAAACAGUUUAUGGCCGCUAUCAUUUCGCAAACUUUGGAAACCUUUUGGACAUUGAAAAACUUGAUGAUGAAGAUUUUGGUAUCUAUGUCUGUGUCGUGAAAUCACCAGACGGAACAAUUUUUGCAUUAAAAAAAGGUAUCAAUAUCGAUGGACCUUAUUACGGAGAUCUCUUGGAAAAAUAUCAAUCAUAUGCAAUCACCGGUGCCAUCGCAGCGUCUAUUAUGUUUGCAUUUGCAUCCAUCUUGUGUUUUUUCUGCCAUCUGCAACAAGCCAAAGGUCAAGACAGCAUGGAUGAAUGGCGUAAGGCACAUCCAGGAUAUAUCUGGCAAUCAAGCAAGAUGGAACAUGUGUAUGACAACAAUGCUCUGGAAUCAGACGUGGCAUUAGAGAAACGCGGAGCUGAAAUGUCAGAAGUCGUGGCAGACUACCAUUUGAAGGAAGAAAAAAAUGGCCAACCUGAUCUAAAUACCAAACUUUAGAUUUAAUUUCUGAUUUAACAUUUAAUUAUUUGUCGAAUAUUGAUUUUAAAAUGAUUAUUAGUGAGCUGACGUUUGGUUGUGUGGGUUUUUAAUCGUGACAUUUAACUACUCGGGAUCUGACAAUCUACAAGUAUUGUAUGUUUAAAUGUGUUCUAAUACGUCUCGGAUUAAUGUGUGUCAUUAAAUUCAGUGAAAUGAAA